AUACUGUUGUACUCUUCUUAUGGUAGUGAAUAACUCUCAUGAGACCUGAUGGUUUUAUAAGGGGAAACCCGUUUCGCUUGGCCCUCAUUCUCUCGUCUGCUGCCAUGUAAAAUGUGCCUUUCGCUGUCUGCCAUGAUUUUGAGGCCUCUCCAGCCACGUGGAACCACAGGGUCUCACUUUGUCACCCAGGCAGGAGUGCAGUGGCAUGAUCAUGGCUCACUGCAGCCUCAACCUUCCAGGCUCAAGCAAUUCUCCCACACUACCCUCCUGAGGAGCUGGGGUCACAGGCAAGCAUGAGGAAAGCCUGCAUGCCUGCUAAGGCACUGUUGUAAUUAAGCAAGUCUAUCCUGCAAACUUACUAUCACAAUCUGGAGGGAACACUUUCUUGAGUUUUGAAUGGCACCUGCAGUUCACUGAGCAGAAUGGAGUUACAAGGACUCUAGUGU
rnacentral:lncRNA from 1 species